GCCCAGACUCCUACGGGAGGCAGCAGUGGGGGAUAUUGCACAAUGGGGGGAACCCUGAUGCAGCGACGCCGCGUGAGUGAAGAAGUAUUUCGGUAUGUAAAGCUCUAUCAGCAGGGAAGAAAAUGACGGUACCUGACUAAGAAGCCCCGGCUAACUACGUGCCAGCAGCCGCGGUAAUACGUAGGGGGCAAGCGUUAUCCGGAUUUACUGGGUGUAAAGGGAGCGUAGACGGCAGUGCAAGUCUGAAGUGAAAGCCCCGGGCUUAACCCGGGAAUUGCUUUGGAAACUGUACGGCUGGAGUGCUGGAGAGGUAAGCGGAAUUCCUAGUGUAGCGGUGAAAUGCGUAGAUAUUAGGAGGAACACCAGUGGCGAAGGCGGCUUACUGGACAGUAACUGACGUUGAGGCUCGAAAGCGUGGGGAGCAAACAGGAUUAGAUACCCUUGUAA
rnacentral:rRNA from 1 species